rnacentral:rRNA from 1 species
GAUGAACGCUGACAGAAUGCUUAACACAUGCAAGUCAACUUGAAUUUGGGUUUUUAACUUAGGUUUGGGUGGCGGACGGGUGAGUAACGCGUAAAGAACUUGCCUCACAGCUAGGGACAACAUUUGGAAACGAAUGCUAAUACCUAAUAUUAUGAUAAUAGGGCAUCCUAUAAUUAUGAAAGCUAUAAGCGCUGUGAGAGAGCUUUGCGUCCCAUUAGCUAGUUGGAGAGGUAACGGCUCACCAAGGCGAUGAUGGGUAGCCGGCCUGAGAGGGUGAUCGGCCACAAGGGGACUGAGACACGGCCCUUACUCCUACGGGAGGCAGCAGUGGGGAAUAUUGGACAAUGGACCAAGAGUCUGAUCCAGCAAUUCUGUGUGCACGAUGAAGUUUUUCGGAAUGUAAAGUGCUUUCAGUUGGGAAGAAAGAAAUGACGGUACCAACAGAAGAAGUGACGGCUAAAUACGUGCCAGCAGCCGCGGUAAUACGUAUGUCACGAGCGUUAUCCGGAUUUAUUGGGCGUAAAGCGCGUCUAGGUGGUUAUAUAAGUCUGAUGUGAAAAUGCAGGGCUCAACUCUGUAUUGCGUUGGAAACUGUAUAACUAGAGUACUGGAGAGGUAAGCGGAACUACAGGUGUAGAGGUGAAAUUCGUAGAUAUUUGUAGGAAUGCCGAUGGGGAAGCCAGCUUACUGGACAGAUACUGACGCUGAAGCGCGAAAGCGUGGGUAGCAAACAGG